rnacentral:sRNA from 1 species
GCUGCCCCCAACAAGCAAGGCUGGAUGGACUGGUACAAAUAGCACAUAGGUGCUGCAAGAGUUCAAAGUCCUGGAAAGAUCAAGCAGUAUGGGUGGGGUAUGUAGUGAGCAAAGCCGUGGAGGAAAUUGUGAAUACUGGUGUCACAGUUAUUAAGGAUGAGAAGACCAGUGUGGCCCGACUGAUGAGGGAAAAAGAACAUGAAAUGAACAUCUUCUAUGGCAUAGCUCAGAGGCAGAGGCAAGAAGAGGUACAGGAAGUGCUUCAAGAAGCAGAGAAAACACAUCAGGCCACUCUUGGCAAUAUGAUGGAUAAACUGGCUAACACCCAGGGGGAGCUGCUGUCUAUAGCAAAACAACUGGGAAUCAUGACAAAUUGGAAAGAUUUCCUAGAGGAGGAAUUACAGGAAACCAGGAUGGCAUUUCAAAAAUACAUCAAUUAUACCUUUCCUAAGCUUUCACCAGGACACGCAGAUUUUAUUCUGCCAGAAAGAAAGAAAACACCUUCUAAUCUUGUUAUUAAGGAGAACAAAACAACUCUUGAUUAGAAGUCUUCAGUUGGAAUUUCACUACAAAAGACAUCAUUCCAGACUAAAUAAAUGUACUCAAAAACCA